GACGAACGCUGGCGGCGUGCCUAAUACAUGCAAGUAGAACGCUGAAGGAGGAGCUUGCUUCUCUGGAUGAGUUGCGAACGGGUGAGUAACGCGUAGGUAACCUGCCUGGUAGCGGGGGAUAACUAUUGGAAACGAUAGCUAAUACCGCAUAAGAGUAGAUGUCGCAUGACAUUUGCUUAAAAGGUGCAAUUGCAUCACUACCAGAUGGACCUGCGUUGUAUUAGCUAGUUGGUGAGGUAACGGCUCACCAAGGCAACGAUACAUAGCCGACCUGAGAGGGUGAUCGGCCACACUGGGACUGAGACACGGCCCAGACUCCUACGGGAGGCAGCAGUAGGGAAUCUUCGGCAAUGGACGGAAGUCUGACCGAGCAACGCCGCGUGAGUGAAGAAGGUUUUCGGAUCGUAAAGCUCUGUUGUAAGAGAAGAACGAGUGUGAGAGUGGAAAGUUCACACUGUGACGGUAUCUUACCAGAAAGGGACGGCUAACUACGCG
rnacentral:rRNA from 1 species